GACGAACGCUGGCGGCGUGCUUAACACAUGCAAGUCGAACGGAAAGGCCCUGCUUUUGUGGGGUGCUCGAGUGGCGAACGGGUGCGUAACACGUGAGUAACCUGCCCUAGACUUUGGGAUAACUUCAGGUAGCUAGGGCUAAUACCGGACAGCAGCUCCUGCUGCAUGGUGGGGGUUGGAAAGUUUCUGCGGUUGGGGAUGGUCUCGCGGGUUAUGAGCUAGUUGGUGGGGUGGUUGAUUACCAAGGCUUUGACGGGUCGCCGGCCUGGGAGGGUGACCAGCCACAAUGGUACUGAGAGACGGCGCAGUGUGCAACGGGGGGCAGCAGUGGCGAAUAUUGCCCAACGGGAGGAAGCCUGAUGCAGCAACGCCGCGUGUGGAAUGACGUCCUUCGGGGUGAAAACCGCUUUAGCCUGUGACGAAGCGUGAGUGACGGUAAUGGGUAAAGAAGCACCGGCUAACUACGUG
rnacentral:rRNA from 1 species